rnacentral:rRNA from 1 species
UACGUAGGGUGCAAGCGUUGUCCGGAAUUAUUGGGCGUAAAGAGCUCGUAGGCGGUCUGUCGCGUCGGCUGUGAAAUCCCGAGGCUCAACCUCGGGUCUGCAGUCGAUACGGGCAAACUAGAGUAUUGCAGGGGAGACUGGAAUUCCUGGUGUAGCGGUGGAAUGCGCAGAUAUCAGGAGGAACACCGGUGGCGAAGGCGGAUCUCUGGGCCAUAACUGACGCUGAGGAGCGAAAGCAUGGGGAGCGAACAGG